AUUGAACGCUGGCGGCAGGCCUAACACAUGCAAGUCGAGCGGAUGAAGGGAGCUUGCUCCUGGAUUCAGCGGCGGACGGGUGAGUAAUGCCUAGGAAUCUGCCUGGUAGUGGGGGAUAACGUCCGGAAACGGGCGCUAAUACCGCAUACGUCCUGAGGGAGAAAGUGGGGGAUCUUCGGACCUCACGCUAUCAGAUGAGCCUAGGUCGGAUUAGCUAGUUGGUGGGGUAAAGGCCUACCAAGGCGACGAUCCGUAACUGGUCUGAGAGGAUGAUCAGUCACACUGGAACUGAAACGCGGUCCAGACUCCUACGGGAGGCAGCAGUGGGGAAUAUUGGACAAUGGGCGAAAGCCUGAUCCAGCCAUGCCGCGUGUGUGAAGAAGGUCUUCGGAUUGUAAAGCACUUUAAGUUGGGAGGAAGGGCAGUAAGUUAAUACCUUGCUGUUUUGACGUUACCAACAGAAUAAGCGCCGGCUAACUUCGUG
rnacentral:rRNA from 1 species